GAAUGUCAAAUUUCUAGUAUGAGAAAUUAACGAUUUAAGUCCUUCUUAAAUGAGGCCAUUUACCCAUAGAGGGUGCCAGGCCCGUAUAACGUUAAUGAUUACUAGAUGGCAUUUCCAAAGAGUCGUGUUGCUUGAUAGUGCAGCACUAAGUGGGUGGUAAACUCCAUCUAAAACUAAAUAUAACCAUGAGACCGAUAGUAAACAAGUACCGUGAGGGAAAGUUGAAAAGAACUCUGAAUAGAGAGUUAAAUAGUACGUGAAACUGCUUAGAGGUUAAGCCCGAUGAACCUGAAUAUCCAUAUAGAAAAUUCAUCAUUAUGAUUUUAAUAUUAAUAAUAUUAUAACAAUAGUGUGCACUUUUUCUAUUGAGGACAUUGUAAUCUAUUAACAUAAAUUAAAUUUAUCAUAAGAUUAAUUGCGAAAGUUUAUUCAAAUUAUUUUGCUUGCAAUUUAACAUAGGAUAAAUGCUUUUAAUUUGAUAAAGUGUUGAUAGAUUUAUUAUAUAUAGUGCUUGAAUAUUUAAAUAUUCUAUAAUAGCAUAUUAAUUAUUAAUUUUUAUGUUUAUUAUAUGCACUUAUAUGAUUAACAAUGCGAAAGAUUCAGGAUACCUUCGGGACCCGUCUUGAAACACGGACCAAGGAGUCUAACAUAUUUGCAAGUUAUUGGGAAUAAAAACCUAAUAGCGAAAUUAACAUAACUUAAAUUAUUUGGGAUUAGUUUUUAGUCUAUUUAUAGUCUAUUAAUUCAAUCCCGGGGCGUUCUAAACAGUUAUGUAUAAUAAUAUUUAUAUUAUUUAUACCUCUAACUAGAGCGUACCUUGAGCAUAUAUGCUGUGACCCGAAAGAUGGUGAACUAUACUUGAUCAGGUUGAAGUCAGGGGAAACCCUGAUGGAAGACCGAAACAGUUCUGACGUGCAAAUCGAUUGUCAGAAUUGAGUAUAGGGGCGAAAGACCAAUCGAACCAUCUAGUAGCUGGUUCCCUCCGAAGUUUCCCUCAGGAUAGCUGGUGCAUUUAAAACUUAUGUAAAAUAAUCUUAUCUGGUAAAGCGAAUGAUUAGAGGCCUUAGGGUCGAAACGAUCUUAACCUAUUCUCAAACUUUAAAUGGGUAAGAACCUCACCUUUCUUGGUAUGAAGGUAGUGGUUGUGAUAUAAUGUGCCCAGUGGGCCACUUUUGGUAAGCAGAACUGGCGCUGUGGGAUGAACCAAACGUUAUGUUACGGUGCCCAAAUUAACAACUCAUGCAGAUACCAUGAAA
rnacentral:rRNA from 1 species